rnacentral:rRNA from 1 species
AUGAAAUCUGGACUCAAGAAUUGGGAUGGCAGUGGUAGCACCAGCACGACCCUCAGCGGGAAGGCAAAAAAAUGCUUUGAUGAUUACUCUGAUUUGGCUAGAGCCGCACAUCCUGAUGAUUGGGAGCAGCGAGAGUUGGAUGGGCAAAUAUUAUAUGAAUCAUUAGGUGGCAUUCCCCAUGGGCGACUAGCAAUAGCAGAUGGGGCGAUUAAGAAGGCUGAUGUUAUCUCAACAUCUAGAGAAAAGAAAUUGAGGCCGUCAACUUCAGCAGCACAUCGACGAACUGUUCAAGAAAAUGAAGAGUUGAAGCGACAUAAUGAGAACCUGCAGUGA